rnacentral:rRNA from 1 species
GGUUAAGUCCCGCAACGAGCGCAACCCUCGUUCUUAGUUGCCAGCAUUAAGUUGGGCACUCUAGGGAGACUGCCGGUGACAAACCGGAGGAAGGUGGGGAUGACGUCAAGUCAGCAUGCCCCUUACGUUCUGGGCUACACACGUACUACAAUGCUAGGGACAAAGAGCAGCCAGACCGCGAGGUUGAGCUAAUCUCAUAAACCCUGGCUCAGUUCAGAUUGCAGGCUGCAACUCGCCUGCAUGAAGGCGGAAUCGCUAGUAAUCGCAGGUCAGCAUACUGCGGUGAAUACGUUCCCGGGCCUUGUACACACCGCCCGUCACACCAUGGGAGUUGGCCACGCCCGAAGUCGUUACUCCAACCCUCGGGAGGAGGACGCCGAAGGCAGGGCUGAUGACUGGGGUGAAGUCGUAACAAGGUAGCC